ensembl:lncRNA
GAGGGACACUGACAGACACUGACAGUGACAACAGAAGAGAGACCCCAACUGGGAUAUCUCACUAUAGUGAUGAUGACCCCAAGGACAUUGAAAUAUCAGUGGCCCUUACUAAUCACCAAACAAAAGCAAAAGAGAUUCCAGCGAAACACCAACCAAAAGCAAAAAAGAUUCCAGUGAAUCACAUACCAGAGGUAGUGAUUCAGCAACCGAAAACACAAAAAAUGCAUCAGCAAACAAUGCCAGAGAAGAAGAAAACCCAUCAGGGAGAAAUGGAUCUCAAGAGC